GGAAUUGCUAGUAAUCGCGGAUCAGCAUGCCGCGGUGAAUACGUUCCCGGGCCUUGUACACACCGCCCGUCACACCAUGGGAGCCGGUAAUACCCGAAGUCAGUAGUCCAACCUCGUGAGGACGCUGCCGAAGGUAGGAUUGGCGACUGGGGUGAAGUCGUAACAAGGUAUC
rnacentral:rRNA from 1 species